CAUUUCCACUUACUACAGCUGAAGAGUAGCUGGUGCUGCUAUUAGCUAAGAAAAUAAUAAUAAUCACUAUAAUUCAUAUGAAAUAAGCAAUUUUAUUUUUAACGCGUUUACAAGAAAAAGCUAAAAACAGUUCAUAUUACAAAAAUGACCCAUGAUGACUAUUUAUAAGUUAAGUAUUUAUAAGUAAGACUAUAUACAGUUAUUAAAUAAUAAAGAAAAUGGGAAUGAAAGCAUUGGAUUCAAAUCUGUUUUUACUCAGUUUAUAGAAAAACAGAAGACUAAUGAUAACGAGACUGAAUUUGUAAAAAAUAAAAUUAGUAGAAAAGAAACGGAGUAUAAAUUAGAGAUACAAACGGAUGGUGAACAAAGUAAAGAAAAGAAAAUUCAAGUUGUUCAAACGAAAAGUGAUAAAAUUAAACCAAAGAUGAGAUUAGAAAAAUUAGCCAAUGGUAAAGAGAGUACCAAUGAUGGCUACGACAGUAAUUUUCCAUCUUUUCUGAGAACCAGAACUACUGACAAUUGUUCAUAUUGGUAAUGAUGAGUGGAUACCAGAAAUAGCAUAUAACAGAAUAAAUACCAAAUCAGCAACUGCUCGUCAAUUAGCUGGUAAUAUUCUAAUUGCCGUUUUCGAUGAAGAAAUUCUUCUCAUAAGUACCAUUACGGGAAAUGAGAGUAACAAAAAAGGAAAAGGCAACAGAAACUCUGUUAAAAAAUUGGACGAAAAAAAUCAACGCAUGUGAAAAGUUAUAUGAACAUUUACAAGAAAAGCUUUUUUCAAAGUUUAAGACUUUGCGCAAAAAAAAAUUGCUGACUUAAAAACCGUCAAGGAAGAGUCAACAAGUGGAACCAAAAGAAAGAGGGAUGACCAUAAAGAAAUUACGGCUAAAAGGGUUAAAAAAAUGUUGAAGAGGAUUCCAAUGAAAUUAUUGAUGACAAAUUAAAUGGUGCACCAGUUUCACAAGAAAUCGAUAAAGAUGCACAAGUUCCAGAAGAAAUAGUAGAUAAGGACGAAUUAAAUAAUAAACAGGUUUCACAAGGUGCAGAUAAGGGGACAUUGAAUUUAUCUGAUCAUGAAGAUGAAUUGUUUGAUUGGUCUCCUAAAUCUCAGGAUCAGUCGGAAGAUGCAACACCUGCUGCUAGUUCAGAUGAAGAAUCAUAAAAAUCUUAUAAUUAUUAUUCUGACCUGAUGUACAAAAAGUCUGAUCUUCCGAAGAUUUUAAGAUAUGCUCCGCUAUUUAAUAUAAAACGUUUUCGUAAACAUUAUUAUAA